rnacentral:lncRNA from 1 species
UUCCUAUCCUAGCAAAGAUUUCUGCAGCCAAUCAUGCUUGUCAUCUUAUGAGCUAAAGAAAAAACCUGUUGUUACCAUAUAUACCAAAAGCAUUUCAACUAAGUGCAGUAUGUGUCAGAAGAAUGCUGAUACUCGAUUUGAAGUUAAAUAUCAAAAUGUGGUACAUGGUCUUUGUAGUGAUGCCUGUUUUUCAAAAUUUCACUCUACAAACAACCUCACCAUGAACUGUUGUGAGAACUGUGGGAGCUAUUGCUAUAGUAGCUCUGGUCCUUGCCAAUCCCAGAAGGUUUUUAGUUCAACAAGUGUCACGGCAUACAAGCAGAAUUCUGCCCAAAUUCCUCCAUAUGCCCUGGGGAAGUCAUUGAGGCCCUCAGCUGAAAUGAUUGAGACUACAAAUGAUUCAGGAAAAACAGAGCUUUUCUGCUCUAUUAAUUGCUUAUCUGCUUACAGAGUUAAGACUGUUACUUCUUCAGGUGUCCAGGUUUCAUGUCAUAGUUGUAAAACCUCAGCAAUCCCUCAGUAUCACCUAGCCAUGUCAAAUGGAACUAUAUACAGCUUCUGCAGCUCCAGUUGUGUGGUUGCUUUCCAGAAUGUAUUUAGCAAGCCAAAAGGAACAAACUCUUCGGCGGUGCCCCUGUCUCAGGGCCAAGUGGUUGUAAGCCCGCCCUCCUCCAGGUCAGCAGUGUCAAUAGGAGGAGGUAACACCUCUGCCGUUUCCCCCAGCUCCAUCCGUGGCUCUGCUGCAGCCAGCCUCCAACCUCUUGCUGAACAAUCCCAGCAAGUUGCUUUAACCCAUACAGUUGUUAAACUCAAGUGUCAGCACUGUAACCAUCUAUUUGCCACAAAACCAGAACUUCUUUUUUACAAGGGUAAAAUGUUUCUGUUUUGUGGCAAGAAUUGCUCUGAUGAAUAC